rnacentral:lncRNA from 1 species
UGCACCUUCUUAUUCUUUUUCUUCUUGUUCUUCUUCUUUCCUUUCUUAAAGGGUCGACGACCAGAAGAAGACCCUCCCACAACAUUCACCGACUCCUUAUGGAGCUGGUGAUCCUUCUCAAAGUUCUGCAGCAACCCCAACAAGCCGUGGUAGUUCACUGCAGGCUUUGUCAUCCGAAAAUGAGUAAGAAAGGGGAGGAAGGACUUGGGCAAUGAAUUAAGGAUCGCAUCCUUACCGAGCUGCUCAUGCAAGGGAAAGCUCAGUUUACUUAGGCGCUC